GAACUUGAACUGUUGAAAACAGAAACAACAAACACAACAGUGAAAACAACACGAAGAAUUCGGAUUGUGCUUCAUGGAAGUGUCUUGAAUCGUGAUAAGUUUGAUGUGAGAGGUUAGACACGCGGCGUUAGUUAUUUUUUAUUGUUUAUUAGUUAUGUUCAGCAGAAACUAAGCUAAUUUUGUGAAUCAUAAAAUGUGCGGUAUUCCCUCAUGCUGCUGAACUUUACUAAACUUCAUGAUUACCUCUACAUGUACCUGUUGAAUAUUAUCGUACAAUCUGUAAACUAGUGUAUUGUGUAUAUAUUGCGAAGUAAGUUACAUUGUUUGUGCUAACAAGAGGAUUCUUUUCAUCUAUAAUUUUGGAAUCGUUUGCUGUUCUAUGAAUGCACGCCUGAUUUAUUUGGAUUGAAUAAUACAAGAGCAGAAACUUAUCCAGGUCUAUGAGGAAUUUCAAUAAAAAGGCAUAGGCAUACGUGUUUCGCAGUCAGUCCAAGGAUCAAACAUGUAGCUAACUACGAAAAUAGAUGUGAUGUUGGGAGAGCAGCUACGUGAAGCUGCAGCAGAAGGGAACAACAGGGAGGUCGUACGAUUGCUCAGUGAAGGAGCUAAGAUCACGCCUGACAGGGUCAGUACAUU